UCAGAGCAAUCAUCAAUCUGGAGGAUGCC
rnacentral:piRNA from 1 species